rnacentral:lncRNA from 1 species
CCACUCUAAAACUCCAAUAAGAAGAGAUUUUUUAUUAUGAAUAUCAUAUCAGAAAGAGUUGUCCAUAGUGAGCCUCAAGUCAUUCUCAAGAAACAUACAUAGAGCAACUUCACAUUCCAGGUAACAUGACGCAAAAAACUAAAAAAGCUUACCUUAUUGGGCACUUGGUCCACCAUAUAUUCACUUGGAUUUACACGCCUCACAAGACUUGAGUUCUCUCUUCUUUUCUGUGUGUUCUCUUAUCGGUCGAACUCUUCCGCCUUCUGCCUGUUUCCUUUGUGGUGAUUAUCUUGGUGAUAUCAUACCUCCUUUGUGGUGGUCUCUAAGUGGCAUAAGGUCUAGCAACCGUAGGUGGAACCUUUGUGGUGUUCUUGGGUCUUCUCUAGUUUUGGUAUUGAUUAGGAUUUUGGUAACUCAGCCUGUAUAAAGCUUUGGUGGUUGAAGAUUGGAGUUCCUUACAAUAGACUUAUUCUCUGAAAAUUGAAUUGUUGUAUACUUAAUCCCUGAAUGUUUUUCCCUUAAUUUUUUUGAGGACUUUUAAAUUUGGAGAUCCAAACCAAUGGCCUAGGUUGCCUUGGACAAGGACCAGGCUUACUAUUGGAGAUUAAUAAUACGUAGUCGUGUUGAAAAAUCUACAACUAUAUUCACUCUUGGCCUUAUCAGAAAGAAAAUGUGACCGUAUGUUUCUAUAUGUGAAGUGAUCAGCUACAACCAUCGUUAAAUAGGUGUAGAUGAAUAAGGAAAAGGUGUCGAGGGUGAGAGCCCUGACGUUAUAUGCCCAACAAGAACUGAGCUCAUAGUGAUCGUGGAGAUUGAAAAAGCCACUACAGAUUUAGGGAGAAUGUAUUAAUAAUAUCCUGCGCGCUCCUAAAGCCCAAGCCGCAACGGUGACUCAUCCUUAAACCAUCAAAGAAAUCUGACAGUUUCUUCAAAACAACCAAGGCUUGUAUUGCUG